CAUCACUCAUCAUCAGGGAAAUACAAAUUAAAACCAGGAUGAGAUACCACCUCACAUCUGUCAGAAUCACUAAAAUUUACCACACAGGAAACAACAGUUGUUGGUAAGGAUAUGGAGAAAAGGGAACCCUCAUAAACUAUUGGUGGGAAUGCAAACUGGUACAAGCACUGUGGAAGACGGUAUGAAGUUUCUUCAACAAAUUAAAAAUAGAAAUACCAUAUGGCCCAGUAACUGCACUAGUGGAUAUUUACCCAAA